GACAGAGGGGGCAAGCGUUGCUCGGAAUUACUGGGCGUAAAGGGCGCGUAGGCGGAAUGGCAAGUCGGUCGUGAAAUCCUUCGGCUCAACCGAAGAACGUCGAUCGAAACUGCCGUUCUUGAGGAUUGCAGAGGAGACUGGAAUUCCCGGUGUAGCGGUGAAAUGUGUAGAGAUCGGGAGGAACACCGGUGGCGAAGGCGGGUCUCUGGGCAAUUCCUGACGCUGAGGAGCGAAAGCAUGGGGAGCGAACAGG
rnacentral:rRNA from 1 species